UACGUAGGGUGCGAGCGUUAAUCGGAAUUACUGGGCGUAAAGCGUGCGCAGGCGGUUUUGUAAGCCAGAUGUGAAAUCCCCGGGCUUAACCUGGGAAUGGCAUUUGGGACUGCAAGGCUGGAGUGUGGCAGAGGAGACUGGAAUUCCUGGUGUAGCAGUGAAAUGCGUAGAUAUCUGGAGGAACACCGGUGGCGAAGGCGGCAUCCUGGACCAACACUGACACUGAUGAGCGAAAGCCAGGGGAGCAAACGGG
rnacentral:rRNA from 1 species